rnacentral:rRNA from 1 species
GACGAACGCUGGCGGCGUGCCUAACACAUGCAAGUCGAGCGGAGAUUCGGAGUAGUUUACUACGAAGGAUUUUAGCGGCGGACGGGUGAGUAACGCGUGAGCAAUCUGCCUAGUACUGGGGGAUAACAGUCGGAAACGGCUGCUAAUACCGCAUAAGACCACAAUACCACAUGGUAAAGGGGUCAAAGGAGUAACAUCCGGUAUAAGAUGAGCUCGCGUCCCAUUAGCUAGUUGGUGAGGUAAAGGCCCACCAAGGCGACGAUGGGUAGCCGACCUGAGAGGGUGAUCGGCCACACUGGGACUGAGACACGGCCCAGACUCCUACGGGUGGCAG